rnacentral:rRNA from 1 species
AUUGAACGCUGGCGGCAUGCCUUACACAUGCAAGUCGAACGGUAACAGGUUAAGCUGACGAGUGGCGAACGGGUGAGUAAUGUAUCGGAACGUGCCCAGUCGUGGGGGAUAACUACUCGAAAGAGUGGCUAAUACCGCAUACGACCUGAGGGUGAAAGCGGGGGACCGUAAGGCCUCGCGCGAUUGGAGCGGCCGAUAUCAGAUUGGCUAGUUGGUGGGGUAAAAGCCCACCAAGGCGACGAUCUGUAGCUGGUCUGAGAGGACGACCAGCCACACUGGUACUGAGACACGGCCCAGACUCCUACGGGAGGCAGCAGUGGGGAAUUUUGGACAAUGGACGCAAGUCUGAUCCAGCCAUGCCGCGUGCGGGAAGAAGGCCUUCGGGUUGUAAACCGCUUUUGUCAGGGAAGAAACGAGUUUCUCUAAUACAGAGACUUAAUGACGGUACCUGAAGAAUAAGCACCGGCUAACUACGUGCCAGCAGCCGCCGUAAAAC